rnacentral:RNase_P_RNA from 1 species
CGUCGGGCAAUCGCUCCUCUCCGUAUUGACGGAGGGGUGAGGAAAGUCCGGACACCUGCGGGCAACCGUGCUUCCUAACAGGAAGGCGUUCGUUUCGUAAGGAACGAACGACAACCAGUGCCACAGAAAACAGACCGCUUCCGGCUUAUGUUGGGAGUAAGGGUGAAACGGUGAGGUAAAAGCUCACCACUCGCACGGGCGACCGUCGGGGUUACGGCAAACUUCACGGGGUGCAAGAUCAUGCAGACAGCUCAUGCGCCGCUCGCCGCUAUGCUGUCGGGUGGAUCGCUAGAGCCCCGAAGUAAUUCGGGGACCAGAUAAAUGAUUGCCAUCCCGGACUUUACGGGACACAGAAUCCGGCUUACAGACGCUUUC